rnacentral:lncRNA from 1 species
CACGGUGAUGGUAGAAAUAGCUCUUUCCAGAAAGGUGUGAGCAGGAACCCAAGAUUCUGGAGGACAACAAGAACCCCAAUGAAUUUAAUAUAUAUUUGGAGAGAGAAAAUGCUCUUCCUUAG